UAUAGAUUUCUAACAAAUUUUGGUUUUACGUUUUUUUAUUACUGGUAAUAAUAUUCAAAAAUCAAUUUUUCUACCGGGUGCUAGGGCGGAUGAGUCUGUUGACAGUUUGCUCUUUGGUCAAGUUAUUACAAAAAUUCUGUUAUAAGACAUGUUUUUAAUUUGAAUAUAGUUUCUAGAGUUUUAACAUUAUGCAGAGAUCAGCGUUACAAAGUAAAC
rnacentral:lncRNA from 1 species